rnacentral:rRNA from 1 species
UACAGAGGGGGCAAGCGUUGUUCGGAUUUACUGGGCGUAAAGGGCGCGCAGGCGGUCGAUCAAGUCGAGUGUGAAAGCCCCCGGCUCAACUGGGGAGGGUCAUUCGAAACUGAUCGACUUGAAGGCAGGAGAGGGUAGUGGAAUUCCCGGUGUAGUGGUGAAAUGCGUAGAUAUCGGGAGGAACACCAGUGGCGAAGGCGACUACCUGGCCUGGUCUUGAGGCUGAGGCGCGAAAGCUAGGGGAGCAAACGGG